rnacentral:rRNA from 1 species
AGACGUAGGGGGCGAGCGUUGUCCGGAUUUACUGGGCGUAAAGCGCGUGCAGGCGGUCCGUUAAGUCUCGUGUGAAAUCCUCCGGCUCAACCGGAGAACGCCGCGGGAUACUGGCGGGCUUGAGGGCGGUAGAGGGUGAUGGAAUUCCCGGUGGAGCGGUGAAAUGCGUAGAUAUCGGGAGGAACGCCAGUGGCGAAGGCGGUCACCUGGGCCGUCCCUGACGCUGAGACGCGAAAGCUGGGGGAGCGAACGGGA